rnacentral:rRNA from 1 species
UACAGAGGGUGCGAGCGUUAAUCGGAAUUACUGGGCGUAAAGAGCGUGUAGGCGGCCAGACAGGUCCGUUGUGAAAACUAGAGGCUUAACCUCUAGACGUCGAUGGAAACCGUCUGGCUAGAGUCCGGAAGAGGAGAAUGGAAUUCCUGGUGUAGCGGUGAAAUGCGUAGAGAUGGGGGAGAACACUCGUGGCGAAGGCGGCCAGCUGGACCAGUUCUGACACUGAGGCGCGAUAGCGUGGGGAGCAAACAGG